CCCUUAGAUGUUCUGGGCCGCACGCGUGCUACACUGAGUGGAUCAGCGGGUCAGGUUGCGCGAAAGCGUUUCCUAAUCUUUAAAUCCGCUCGUGAUGGGGAUUGACGGUUGCAAUUUUCUGUCAUGAACGAGGAAUACCUUGUAAGCGCGGGUCAUCAUCCCGUGUUGAAUACGUCCCUGCCGUUUGUACACACCGCCCGUCGUUUCUUCCGACUGAUACUCAUUGUGAGUUGCAAGGAUUCCAUCUGGAAAAAUUGCUGCGAAUGCUUUGUAUUGGAGGAAGAAAAAGUCGUAACA
rnacentral:rRNA from 1 species